rnacentral:rRNA from 1 species
AUUGAACGCUGGCGGCAGGCCUAACACAUGCAAGUCGAGCGGUAGAGAGGUGCUUGCAUCUCUUGAGAGCGGCGGACGGGUGAGUAAUGCCUAGGAAUCUGCCUAGUGUGGGGGAUAACGUUCGGAAACGGACGCUAAUACCGCAUACGUCCUACGGGAGAAAGCGGGGGAUCUUCGGACCUCGCGCCAUUAGAUGAGCCUAGGUCGGAUUAGCUAGUUGGUGAGGUAAUGGCUCACCAAGGCGACGAUCCGUAACUGGUCUGAGAGGAUGAUCAGUCACACUGGAACUGAGACACGGUCCAGACUCCUACGGAGGCAGCAGUGGGGGAAUAAUUGGACGAAUAGGGCGAAAGGACCUGAUCCAGCCAUGCCGCGUGUGUGAAGAAGG